GGGGGUUUUCUGACUCUGUCUCACUCCACAAAGAGGCGGGUUGAUGUCGACAUGCACCUCGGAUCUCUCAUCCUCACGGCCUUCCUGGGGCAACUGCUGGGCGCCAUGGGACAGACCACUGUCACCCAGCAAGAAGCACAAGUCACAGUGAAGCAGGGAGACAUCUUUGAAACCACCUGCACCUACAGAACACCCAGCUUUGAUGCCUUGCUCUGGUACAAACAGAGAAAAGGACAAGCCCCACAGCGUAUCUCCUAUCAGGCAGCAGCUGGCCACAAGCGCAGCGGCCGUCUCACCACCGUGCUGAACACCACCGAGAAAUACAGCCUCCUGCAGCUGGAGGAAGUCGAGCUCUCUGACAGUGCCUUGUACCUCUGUGCAGCCGUGCUCCCUCUUUCAGGGGACAAGUGGGAAGAUUAG